GGCUUUUAAAGUUUCCAAAUUUUGUCCGGCCUCUCCCAUUGACUCGAUCCACCUUGCGGCACUCAUAGCGAAGCGUGGAACGCAUUGUUGGGUUAAGCGCUCGUCGUAUUGCUGAAGGCGGAACGACCGAUCGUCGGGAGCGUUCAAUCGGUCAGUGUAUUUUACCCAUCAGUCGCGGACGCCAGUGGAAUCGCAUCAGUGUGCCCCCCAGUCCCCCAGUGAAGCCGAGCAGUGUUUUGAUCGCAGCUCCGCGUGUCGGAAUCGGAUCCAGGGGAUCCUCUAAUCGUCGCCUUCCUGCUCCACCGACUACUUUCUCUCUGCCCACGACCACGCCGCGCCGCCACACCGCGCUCAAUCCCAAACAUCAACAAACUAUCACCGAACCGGUUCAAUCCUACGGCUCCCCUUCAAAUUCGUCUCGCUUUUCGCGCGUUUUUCACAGUUUUUACGAAUUCCGGAAUUUUAUCGAUUGACUCUACGAUUUGUGCUUUUUUUACGAUCAACAUGUGCUGAUUGUGAGUGUGUGUGUUUGUGCGACUUGAAUUUUCCGAUCGAGGACAACCAGUUUUCUUGAUUUGAGAAAUAUGGUAGUGCAGGAGACGGAGGUGGUCUGUCGACCCAAUACAGAUCCAUUUGAUCUCAAUUUAGAAUGGCAGAUGCGUGCGGAGAAAGAGCUAAACGAAUGCCCAGAGACCGCCCGAAAGAAUGUCGUUCAACUUAGGCAAAAAUUAAAAGAGGAUCUAUCAAUGAACUCCAGAGUAGACGAUGUAUUUUGCAUGGCAUUUCUACGAGCAAGAAAACAUGACGUGGAUAAAGCCUAUAAUUAGUAAGUUUCCUUUUUAAUAUUUUUUCGUUUAAGUAAACUGCCUAAAUUCAAGAGUUUUGUUUUUAACAAAACAUUGUUUUUAACACAAAACCAUUCGUGACGAGGUAAUAAAUCGCCAUAAGCUAUCGUAAAAUAUUGACAUGACUCACGAACGUGAUUGUGAUUUAAUAAGAUAGAUUAGAUAGAUUAGAUAGAUUUAGAUAGAAUAGAUAGAUUCAAUGUGUCAAAUUAGAUAGAUUUUAAGCUUGGAAAUCAUAUUUAUCCCGUUGUGCGUUUGAUACGCUACGUUGUCGCCGAAAUUUUUAAUCUUCACUCCUCACGGCAAAUGGUACUUAUUAAACUUUAGCUGUAUGUACCUAAAUUCCAAAAAAUACUCAGAGCUGAAUUUUUUUCUAAUUGAAGGUAAAUACAGAGAGAAAUUUAGAUUACCUAAAUUAAAAAACAUGGAACUUUUUUUAAAAAAAAUUCUCUCACUUCAUUCAUCAUGCGUUGAUUGAGGUUUUUCCUCGAGGUUUCUGGCGUUGUCAAUCUGGUGUGCGAGAUAUCGCAUGGAUUAUGUCACAAAUCUUGGCAGAUUUUGAAUUUUCGUCCAAAAAAAGGACAAUAGCCCCUGCGCGUGGUGCCAAGGGAAUGGUGCCCAAAGAAUCAGUUCAAACCAAAAAAUUGGCAAAAUCCAGUGACUUGAUAGCAGAACCCUGUUUCGAUAAACCUCGUAUUCGAUAUAAAAAUCGAUGAUUGUAUUGAAUGCGAGGUUUUUUCAAACAGGAUUCUCCUUUCACUUCACAAGGUUUUGCCAACUGUUUGUCUUAGAAUGAUUCUUCGGGCUCAUGAGCAGGGACUAUCGUCCUUUUUUUGGACGAAAUUCAAAAUCUGCUGAGAUUUUUUACUGAAUCUAUGCAAAUAUCGCACAUCACUUCGACCACGCCAGAAACCUUGAGGAAUCACAUUAAGCCAAAACAUAGACUCUUCCAAAUCAAAAUCAAUCCAAAGUCCGUAUCAGAGAUAAUUCAAGUCAACCAUUUUUUGAAAAUAUACGUUUGUAAAACAAAGGGAAAUGGCACACAGUUCCAUCAAAACUGCCAGUAUUAAGGACCUAUCAAUUGUGCAACUGCAACGUACAGCCCGUGUUGAAAGAGCCGCGUUUCACAUGAGAGGAGUUAACAAAACGUGAUACGAAUGCAAGUUGGUGCUGUCAAUGACACACAUCACUGUGAGAGGAUAUUUGCCAAAUAGAUAUCGAUUUUUUUUCUCGCCCUCCCCCCCUCGCCCAUUCUCUAUUUGUGAUUCUCUACACGUGAGGAGCAUGGGCAUCGCACUUGGUAUAAAAAUUAGUUUCGACACCCGAUUUAUUUAAGUUUUUUUCAUUGAGUUGCCCAAAUGUUCGGCACGAGUCUUUUCGUCAUGCUCUCUGGCACAUUAACGAAAUAUGGUCUUGAACUCUUCAUUCUUCAUUAUUGUCAUAUCUCACGUAACCGUGUGUAUUGGGUACCUCUUCUCAAUUUAAUGGAUACUAUAUUUAAAGAAACCACUCAAAAAUGGACAUAUUUUACUAGUUAGUGAAACUAAUUACGACGAUCAGCAACUAAAGUAUUUACGUCGGAAAUCAGGAAUUCAUCUUAUACAAUUACUUUAUUUACUCGCUCUUUAAUGUUUUAACAGGGGAUGAGUGAUUGAAAACAUGAAAACGUUAGGGCCGCAUAAAAUUGACAGAGAAUAAAAAAUUCAGGUUUAUGAUUACUUACGUCAACAAUGGCGAAAAGUGCGAUCAAAGUUAAAUUCUCAUAAAACAGCUUUGAAUAUAAUGAUAUAUGUUUAAGUCUACUCCUCUCCCUCUUGCAGAAGAAAACCCGUUCUCGUCUGUCUCAUGCAGUUGCAAUGCGCGUAAUUACUGAGUAGAAUGUUUACAUGAAAAUAAGCGUUCUCAACUGCCUAAUUCUUUUCUCUGUCUGGCUUUUUCUGUGCGCGUAUCAUAAAUUGGACGUAUUUAUGCGAAAAGGAGAUAUGUGCAAGUGGAAAGAUGGGGUGUGCUCGUUAGUUGGGUCAUAAGAAACAAUGUAAAAGUGGAUAUAGUUCCUUUUGAGAAAAUUGAAAAGCGAGAUUUGACAUUAAAUCAA
rnacentral:lncRNA from 1 species